UGAACUAUAUUCCAUUUGAGCAAAACCCCUUUGGGCUGCCCAGUACUUUAAAGAGAUUUAUCAAGCAGUCCUGAGACCAAAACCGUGUGGGAGAAGCUGCCGGCCUCUGAUUGAAUACUUAGGGGACUUCCAGAAAGGCACCUGGCCACAGAGGACUUUCCAGGAGCCAACGCAAGCCCCAUCUGCUGUUAGCUGUGAGCUUUCCCAGGCCCAACUUCUGCCUUUUCUGUAAAGGCCCAGGGUCUUGUGGGAUGUGACUCAGGAACCACUGGACCCAUCUCCUCCUGGGACCAUCUGCUACUGGCCCCAGCCCAGAUGAUACAGUUGGAGCCCUACCCACGGCAUCCUCUCCCGCCUUCAGACGGUUCCAGGAACGAGAGUGAGUCAGACCCAGCUGAAGCCUGCCUUGUUAACCCAAGCUGUAGCCCAGGGGCCCAGCACAGGGGACCACCUGCUUGCCGGGCAGGUGUUCUCUGCAAAAUCUCCGCACAGGAAGGGAAUCUCACCCUAAGCCUCGUGGGCAUUCAGACCCAUCCUUCCAGAUGUGCCCCUCCCCUUUCCUAGGGACUGCAGGCAGUCACAAGUUCAAGCGCAGCUGCUGCAGCUCCUUGCCACGGCAGCUUGUCACAGAGCCCAUUGAGGUGAAGCUGGUGGCCCACAGCCUGGUCACUUCCUGCCGAGGAGGCUCUCAGAAGAACUCCCGGAUCUACUUUGGGUGUAAAAAAAGGGUGGUGCCCUGGGCAGUCAUCUACCUGGGCCACUGAGAAGGUGACUUUAAACCCCUCAGUGUGCUCUUCAGCUGUAGAUCUACGCAUAGCUGUGGCUCUCCAGUUGGCCGCUCUUGGAUCUACGCGUAGCUGUGGCUCUCCAGUUGGCCGCUCUUCCUUAGCAACUAAUGGCUCAUUGUGGAUAUAGAGGCUGGCGGCAUCCAAUGCACAGGGAGGAUACUGCUCACACAUUCGGCUUACAGGCCACGCUGUGCAGAGUUACACCUACCAGUCCUCGGCCCGUACUGGCUUCUCUGUAAAAAACAGAAUAGUGUGACCCAUCUCCUAUGAUGCAUGUGAGUGUUUUUUUGUUUUUUGAUUUUGGUUUUACGAGACAGGGUUUCUCUGUAUUGUUUUGGAGGCUGUCCGUCCAGCCUGGCCUCGAACUCACAGAGAUCCGCCUGUCUCUGCCUCCCGAGUGCUGGGAUUAAAGGCAUGCGCCACCACCGCCCGGUGCAUGUAAGUGUUAAUGGAGGACCACGUCUGGGAAGGGUCUGUUCUGCUGCCCACUGAUCGUGUUUUGCAGAACUGUGAGCUGUGACGGUGCCCUCUGAGUCUGCUGAGAAGCUGGAAGGAGGGAGGGUCACAUUCUCUGGACUUGUCACCAUCCUCACGGACUUGUUGAGCCUGGGUCCUUCCUUGCCUUAGAACAGGCCUUUUCCUGGGAGGGUUCAUGGGUUAUAGUUACUCUGAUUCCAUGAGUGUCUGCCCCGGCCUGGCUAUUACACCACAUCAAAAAUAUUGUAGCUUUUGCCUUUGUCCAUGACUGUGGGAACCUGGGAAUCCCAGACGCAAGGAACUUGGCUUGGUGUUUAUCUUUUCUGAAGUCCCCUUCUCCUCCAGUGGAUAUGGCUGUGCUUGGACGUGCUUGGGUUGGGUGAAGCCAGCCCAGCCUCAUUGGGAAGUCACAGCGGCAGUCCCCACAGUGGGUCCUGGAGUCCUGCUGGGGCCUGAACACUUUUGGCCUGGAGUCCUCGUAGCAUAACUUCCUGCUUGGGAGUUUCUCUACUGCCCCUGUAGAGCCUUGCAGUUUAUCUGUGGUCAACUUUCUCACCCAUUUCCUGCCAGCUGCUACUGGUUUUUCAGUCAGCUUCUACAGCUAUGGUAAUUGGGAAAAGGCACAGACUGCUGUCCGAGUGAUUCACCAGCUGUGGCUGGCGGGACGUGGAGACUGGGGCAUACCCUGUGUAGAGAGGGGUGCCUCCACCCAGCCUGGGUCUGUCCCCUGGACUCUGUGAGUAACACAGAGAAGACCACGGGGCACACACUCAUUGUGAACCAGAAGCUGGUGUACAUGUGUGUGUGCACAUGCGUGGCACAAGCAAUUGUUUUUAAAACACUGGAGCCGAAGUAAAUGGUUUCAUGUUUUGAGAGGUCUGAGCAUGGCUCCUUUCAAGGGGAACCCUAGCCUUCUCGCUGAGGUAUUAGUGGGUGAGUGUGCCACACCCUGAUUAGGCCAUCUGAUCACACUUAAAGUUAUGUUCCUUGGCAUUUCCAAAAAUGAAGAGAAGGAAAUUCCCUCACUGGAGCAGGCCACUCCUCCGGACUGAACAUGUUGAACUUACCUAUUCAUUAUUCUCGUUUUAUGCUUUGAAACGGUGUUUUGGAGUUGCCUGCAUGCUGGCAAUUACUAUUCAAGGGUGUCUUUCUAUCCAGAGACUUCUCUGCAGGGGCGGGGCCCUGUGUGGACAGCAGAGUCCCCAGAGGGUGGUACAAUCACUUGGGAACUUGUGUAAAUGGUGGGGUGUGGGACGUAGGGGUGACAGGCCUGGCUCCCAGCCUCAGGUCUAGGGCCUGGGGGAUUGGGCCAGCCAUCUGGCUCUACCUACCUUUCAGCUAGCCCUCCCUAUUACAUCAUUAGUAGAUUUUAUUGGUCCAUUUGUAGAUGAGAAUUAUGAAGAAUGAAAAUGAAUUACACAGUGGAGUCUACACAUUUUCCCGCCUCUUCUUGGGUACCAAGCUCUGGGCAAGACCUAUAAUAGACUUUCCUGACGUCUGGUGUUGAAGUCUUUGUAUUGGGGUCUCUUAGCCUACAGUAGGCAGAUCAAGUACAAAGGAGGUUUCCUAAUAGAAGUGUCUCAACCAGCCAUGCCUGUCUGCCCUGGUGGGGUCUGAUGGAGGAAGGUAGACAUGAGGGGCUGGUCGGUGUGGUAAGAUGAUGGGUGGGGAUUGGAAGAGGGGGAGAGUCUAGCGUGGAAGGUGUGUUGGCAGGUUAGGUUUGACUGUCGAUUGGACACAGCCUAGAACUGGGUAAGCGGGUCGGUCUUAAAUGAGAAGUCAUGUAGAAUGGAUUGUGGGCUGGAGUCUGCAUUCUGAGAUCUUUGCCUUUUGGAGUCAGACUGGGUCAUCCUAGGUCCCAGAGCUAAGCAUCAUGGUUCUUUCUAGCCCUAGGUGUCACACAACUGGUUUUCUUAUUGAGCGGUUCAUCCCCUGCUGGCUUCGGAAGGGCAGUGUGCCAGGUCAUCUGGAAGCACACAGAAGCUCGUGUAAGGAGUCGAUGCAGGCUACCAGGUGCAUUUCUAGAGACACCUGUGGAGCCGCCCCCUCAUCAGAUGGUGUGGUUCAGAUGGAAGGUCUGGGUAAUUAGACCAUGCCUGGUGUGAGCACCAAUUCUCUGUGAAACGACACUUGCCUCUGUCUGGGCUCAUCAUCUUUGCCAUGUGCUAGGAUCUAUCUUUUCUGGUUCCACACAAUCCCUUGGGACACUUCACUGGCCAGGAUGUCAUAUGCCCACUGGGUUCCAGAUGGUACCUUCCAAUUUUCUCUCUGAGGUUAUCCAGGAUGUCACCUGCCAAUGCCUGCCAGUUUCUCUCCAAUCACUCUUGUGUGUGUGUGUGUGUGUGUGUUUGUGUGGGCACAUAUGGGAGUGUGUAUAUGUACUAGUGUGUAUAUAGAUGUCACAGUACAACCUCAUCUGUUGUUCCCAGGAGCUAUCUUUCAAAAAAAAUUACUCUUUUCUUUUUUCCUUUCCUUUUCUUUCCCCUUUCUUUUUCCUUCCUCCCUCCCUCCCUCUCUCUCUCUCUUUCCUUUGUUUCUUCUUUCCUUCCUUUUCUUUCUUUCUUUUUUUUUUUUUGAGACAGGGUUUCAUUUUAUAGUCCUGAUUAGCCUGGAACUCCUUUUGUAGACCAGGCUGUCCUCAAGAUCACAGAGAUCCAUCCACCUCUGCUUCCUGAAUGCUGAGAUUAAAGACAUUAGCCACCA